UGAGACAAGUAGAAGCACCCGCUUCUCACCUGAUUGACGUUCUUUUUAGAAGAACAGUUGACGGGUAACAUUUUCUGAACGUAAGGGAAACGUGUGGGUGCAGUGUGUACCGACACUUUUUUUAAUGU
rfam:Pontibacillus yanchengensis Y32 contig58, whole genome shotgun sequence.